GUCGAGAAUCUUCUGCAAUGGGCGCAAGCCUGACAGAGCGACGCCGCGUGGAGGAUGAAGGCCUUCGGGUUGUAAACUCCUGUCAGGGUUUAGGAAUGCGGGCGGGCGAACAGCCCGUCCCGUUGACGAAGGACCCAAAGGAAGCCACAGCUAACUUCGUGCCAGCAGCUGCGGUAAUACGAAGGUGGCGAGCGUUGUUCGGAUUCACUGGGCAUAAAGGGCGCGUAGGCGGCUCCGCAAGCAGCGUGUGAAAACCCACGGCUUAACCGUGGAAUGGCGCGCUGGACUGCGGUUCUAGAGGAUCGGAGGGGGGUGUGGAACUCUCGGUGGAGCGGUGAAAUGCGUAGAUAUCGAGAGGAACACCGGUGGCGAAAGCGGCACCCUGGCCGGUUUCUGACGCUGAGGCGCGAAAGCGUGGGUAGCAAACAGGAUUAGAAACCCGUGUAGUCC
rnacentral:rRNA from 1 species